GACGAACGCUGGCGGCGUGCCUAAUACAUGCAAGUAGAACGCUGAAGAGAGGAGCUUGCUCUUCUUGGAUGAGUUGCGAACGGGUGAGUAACGCGUAGGUAACCUGCCUGGUAGCGGGGGAUAACUAUUGGAAACGAUAGCUAAUACCGCAUAAUAGUAGAUGUUGCAUGACAUUUGCUUAAAAGGUGCAAUUGCACCACUACCAGAUGGACCUGCGUUGUAUUAGCUAGUUGGUGAGGUAACGGCUCACCAAGGCGACGAUACAUAGCCGACCUGAGAGGGUGAUCGGCCACACUGGGACUGAGACACGGCCCAGACUCCUACGGGAGGCAGCAGUAGGGAAUCUUCGGCAAUGGGGGGAACCCUGACCGAGCAACGCCGCGUGAGUGAAGAAGGUUUUCGGAUCGUAAAGCUCUGUUGUAAGAGAAGAACGGGUGUGAGAGUGGAAAGUUCACACUG
rnacentral:rRNA from 1 species